GAAGGUAUUUCUUAUUUAGUAUGUCAUUAUUUAUGAUUCAGAACUGUGAACUUGCCGCAGCUGUAGGUCUUAAUGUUUAAUUUACAAUGCAUAACUCCUUCUCAUGGAGUAGUAUACAUGGCUGCCAAGAAGCAUUGUUUGGGAGUCGGUGGGGGAACUCGAAGGUUCCUAUCUAUUGUGGAGAAAGAUGGGGUCUUGGCUUCUAGCAUGGUCGCUGAAGUUGCAGAUGGUUCUUCUAAUAUCCGAGAGGUAUGGAGGCUUUCGUUUAAGUAGGCAUGGAAUUCAUGUGGAUCAAACACUGUCCUUAUUUUUUAUUUCUCUUUUUCAAUCUCCUCCCCUGUGGCCACCAAUUUGGCCACUUACCUCCUAUAUGAAGAAUCAAAUAUUGUAAUCGAAAUUAGAAGAAUCAAAUGCAGACAAGAAGGAUGUAGAGAAUAUUUGGUCAUUA